rnacentral:rRNA from 1 species
AGCGAACGCUGGCGGCAGGCUUAACACAUGCAAGUCGAACGGGCGUAGCAAUACGUCAGUGGCAGACGGGUGAGUAACGCGUGGGAACGUACCUUUUGGUUCGGAACAACCCAGGGAACUUGGGCUAAUACCGGAUAAGCCCUUACGGGGAAAGAUUUAUCGCCGAAAGAUCGGCCCGCGUCUGAUUAGCUAGUUGGUGUGGUAACGGCGCACCAAGGCGACGAUCAGUAGCUGGUCUGAGAGGAUGAUCAGCCACAUUGGGACUGAGACACGGCCCAAACUCCUACGGGAGGCAGCAGUGGGGAAUAUUGGACAAUGGGCGCAAGCCUGAUCCAGCCAUGCCGUGUGAGUGAUGAAGGCCUUCGGUU